rnacentral:lncRNA from 1 species
AAAAUAUGAGUUUCAUUUUUUAAGUAAUAUCACCGAAAGAAAAAGAUACACUCCGUACGAAAAAGUAUAGAAAAAGAAAACUCUUCCUUCCUUUUAGGGUUUACUCCUGGAUUCGGAGCUCCCUACUUCUCAGCGGCUACAACUUUGUAUUGCUUUAUCCUCCGCCGAUCACAUGUAAACUCUCCGAUCAAGUAGUCCACCACUUCAAAGCCCAAAAGUUCGUUUUUUUCCUUCUAUUUACCUCUCAAUUCAUGAAAGUUUAUAUAAUUAAGAGCUUUGUUUGUUUUUUAUUUUUAUUUUUUUCAUAAUUGAAUCAAAGGAUCUGAUUCUGAACUCAAAUGGGUGUAAUAUUUUCCCCUUGAAUUAGCUCAUUAGCUAGAUUCUUCAUGCUUUAGAUGUGGGCCGGUACUGUAGGUAUCAGUAUUAAGUAAUUCUGAGGUGGUGAUAAUGCUUGAUUAUUAAGUCAUGAGACUGCAAUUUAACUGCAUAUAAAACAUAUAGGGCUGUGUUAUUUUGUUAUAUGUUCUGAGUUAUUUCACACAAAUUAAUAGGGUAUUCCUAGGAAACAAAUAGUUAGAAAUUGGGGGAACCUUAGAGAAUUCAUUUCUUAUUAAUAAAUGCUCAUGGAUACUCUCGGUUCUUGUUUAUUACUUGAGUUUAUUACUUGAGCAGGGUUCCAAUUCUUUUGGAAGUUAAGAUACCUAAAUUUUCAGGUUAAUAGAUCUAUGGUCUCUCCAUAGGUUGAAAGUUGGUUUGCACCACUUUAACUGGUCUUGUUCAUGUUUUACUACUUGGUUUUAAGGUUUUGACUUAAGCAUAAAGCGCUACAUUCUAUGCUCCUUCUGCAACUGCAGGAAGACAAUAUGGUUGGAGCAUGAUUUACACCAUACUUGUAGGAAAAGCUAGAAGACAAGAGUAAAGGAAUGGGCUUGUAAAUGCUCGUCUUAUUUGUUUGCAAUGAAAAGAUGUAGGACAUUAACUUCGUAUCAUUUGGAAUAUAAUGCCCCAAAUUACUGGCUUACCAAAUGGAAACAGAUAUCCAUUUCUUCUGAAUACCUGAUUAGCACCUCUAUUUUGAUUACUGAAUAAAUCCGUCCCGGGGAAAUGGCUGUCGAGGUAUGCUUCUAUGCACAGGUGUAAAUGGUCGAUUUUCGCCAGUGUUUGAUGGGCUUUUGCCCUUAAAUUGCUAUUGUCGGUUUUAAGAGUGCAUCGCCGAAUUCCAUUGUAAUAGUCGGGUUUGGUGAGCUAGGUGUGGUUGGUUUAGUAGCGGUUUUGGUCAGUUUUCGGUUUUUACGUCAUACACAAACAAUUCAUGACUUUGAUCAAAUAAUAUUUGUUUGUACAUCUUAACAUACAUUAGAACAAUUUGAUUCCUACAUGAGGAACACAAAUCAGUACUUGAAUAAUCUACUUCUGGCAAUCCCUUUUGCUCCCUCAAUGUUAAUUUAGGUAUCCUAAAUCUUGAGUGGCAGGUCAGGACUAAAAUCUGAAUAGCAGCAGAAUCAAUUUUGAUUACUUAAGAAUCUCCUCCUUAAGAGAGAAUUUAGAGUUUCUACUCGAAGUGAAUCUUAGAGUGAGGAGACUGAGUGAAAGAGUGUCCUUUAGAGUUGAGAGGAAGAGAGAGAAUCUUUGCCUUGUUCCAUGAGAGAGACGCCGUGAGUCAUGAGCGUAUGAGAGAGAUGUGCAAAGGUUGUGGGUGGAAGAGUCAAAGAUAGAGAGAGUGAAUUCUUAGCAUUCAAGAGUGUAUUAUGUUUGUAUUCAUAUAUGUUUAUUCUAAAUAUAUAAUCUAUUUUCAAAUAAGCUGGUUCGGUAAAUAAACCGGAUUUUCUGAGGUAAACUGGGCACCAACUGAGUGACACUCGUUUUUUCCUUUAGAGAACUUUUUACUAAAUGACUUGGAUAUAAAACCGGCCAGGAUUGACCAGUCUGGUCCAGUUUGGCUGUUUUAUUUUUUGGGUUGUGAAACAGCCCUAAUUUAAUGAAAUGCCUCUGUUGUAUAUUUCGUUUUUGAUUGUGGGUUCUGGAAAGCUCGUAUAGAAAUAACUAAUGCAGUAAUUGAAGAACUUCAAUUUCUAUGGGCCUUUUAAACAUGUGGCAUAGCUUCUUUUGCCUUUCAGUAAAGGACGGGUUCUUGUAUACAUAACAAAUGAUUAUCGAAUAAUAUUUGACUUCGGCGAGUAAUCAAGUUUCAAUACAUAUAUUUUUCUACUAGGAAGUUGCUGUUCUUUGCACUUUUGUUUUUGGGGUGGAUGCGUGUGGGUGGAACAAGUCCUUUUUGUAUAUUUAGAUAAUGUAGUAUUUCUUUAUAUGUUUUAUUAGUGUAGCACCAACAUAAAUUCCAUUGAUUGAUUACUGUGUGUCUCAUAUCAAUGACACAGAUAUUUACUGAAACAACCCGGGUCAAAUCUCGAGUCCGGAACAAAUCUUGGGUCAAAUCCCAAGUCCGAAUCGAAUCAAAUCCAUCCAAAUAAGGCCUCAAACCACUGGCCCAAUAGUAUCUUCUUGGGUCAUCUAGCCCACCACAGGCUCCCAAAAGGUCAUGACUUGAAGGUACUAUUGGUAGUUACUUAAUUCCUCAUAUACAGACAGAUUUUUUUCUUAUCUUUCGAUGUGGGACUGAGGUGUUACAAACUCCCCCACUUAAAUUUCUGACGUCCCCGUCAGAACCGAUCACACACACGGCCCAAAGAUCUUUGCCUCUCUAGCCAUUGUGGGAUAAUACCGGCUGGCUUCGUGUCCCCACCUCCGGACCUCCAUCUCUCCAUUGUGGGAUAAUACCACCAGACUCGGCUCUGAUACCAUAUGAAACAACCUGGGUCAAAUCCCGAGUCCGGAACAAAUCUUGGGUCAAAUCCCAAGUCCGAAUCGAAUCAAAUCCAUCACAAUAAGACCUCAAACUACUGGCCCAAUAGUAUCUUCUUGGGUCANNNNNNNNNNNNNNNNNNNNNNNNNNNNNNNNNNNNNNNNNNNNNNNNNNNNNNNNNNNNNNNNNNNNNNNNNNNNNNNNNNNNNNNNNNNNNNNNNNNNAAUACAGUGAGAUGAUUUAGGUUUACCAGGAAUCUCAAGAUUGCUUCUUGUCUUUACUUUAUCCAUUUGUUUCUCCUCCUCCUUCUUUUGAAGGUAAGUAAAAGGUACCAAUUUUAAUUUUAGGUAUCACAUAAAAAAAAAUCACAUAUUAUAUAACCUUUUUUUUACAUGAUAUUAACAUUAUUUUUUUUAAUUUAUACUUUUAAAUAUAAAUCUCUCUCUUUGAAUUAGCAAGGAAAAGAUAAGAAAAAAAAACAAACAAAAAAAGAUUUGGGGACCAAUUAACACUAUAUUGGUGGAAAAUGGUUAGCAUAAAAUUUAUUUUUGAUUAAGUUGGUUAAUUGGUCAAUAGAAUACUGACACGCAAGUUAUACUCUGUGUGUCAGCAUUCUAUUGGCCAAUUGACCAACGUACCAAAAAAUAAAAUUUAUGCUAACCGGAUCUAUAUUAGUGAUAUGAUUACUAUAUUUUUUUAAAUAAUAUCAUCGAAAGAAAAAAAAAAUUGGACGAAAAAUUAUGUUACAAUAUUCAUAUGACGGUGAGAGCAAAAUUUUAUAAAAUAAUUCGGCUACUAGCAUUCGAAUAUCCAAACGCAUUGUAACAAUUUUAAUAUAUUGUAUAUUAAAUUUAAAAAUAUAUUUGUGAGUUAAAUAAAUUAUAUUUAAAAUAAAUUAAAUAAAAUUUUUAAUAUAUUUUGAACAUUGUUUAAAAAUAAAAAAUUAUUAAAAUUAAUAUACUAAUAUAAAAAAUUAAUAUUUUGACACGAUGUGUUACGCAUAAUUACGUAAAUAGUCUCAAAAGACACUCAUAAGUUUUUAAUACAUGUAAAUAUCAUUCGGAAAAUAUGAGUUUCAUUUUUUAAGUAAUAUCACCGAAAGAAAAAGAUACACUCCGUACGAAAAAGUAUAGAAAAAGAAAACUCUUCCUUCCUUUUAGGGUUUACUCCUGGAUUCGGAGCUCCCUACUUCUCAGCGGCUACAACUUUGUAUUGCUUUAUCCUCCGCCGAUCACAUGUAAACUCUCCGAUCAAGUAGUCCACCACUUCAAAGCCCAAAAGUUCGUUUUUUUCCUUCUAUUUACCUCUCAAUUCAUGAAAGUUUAUAUAAUUAAGAGCUUUGUUUGUUUUUUAUUUUUAUUUUUUUCAUAAUUGAAUCAAAGGAUCUGAUUCUGAACUCAAAUGGGUGUAAUAUUUUCCCCUUGAAUUAGCUCAUUAGCUAGAUUCUUCAUGCUUUAGAUGUGGGCCGGUACUGUAGGUAUCAGUAUUAAGUAAUUCUGAGGUGGUGAUAAUGCUUGAUUAUUAAGUCAUGAGACUGCAAUUUAACUGCAUAUAAAACAUAUAGGGCUGUGUUAUUUUGUUAUAUGUUCUGAGUUAUUUCACACAAAUUAAUAGGGUAUUCCUAGGAAACAAAUAGUUAGAAAUUGGGGGAACCUUAGAGAAUUCAUUUCUUAUUAAUAAAUGCUCAUGGAUACUCUCGGUUCUUGUUUAUUACUUGAGUUUAUUACUUGAGCAGGGUUCCAAUUCUUUUGGAAGUUAAGAUACCUAAAUUUUCAGGUUAAUAGAUCUAUGGUCUCUCCAUAGGUUGAAAGUUGGUUUGCACCACUUUAACUGGUCUUGUUCAUGUUUUACUACUUGGUUUUAAGGUUUUGACUUAAGCAUAAAGCGCUACAUUCUAUGCUCCUUCUGCAACUGCAGGAAGACAAUAUGGUUGGAGCAUGAUUUACACCAUACUUGUAGGAAAAGCUAGAAGACAAGAGUAAAGGAAUGGGCUUGUAAAUGCUCGUCUUAUUUGUUUGCAAUGAAAAGAUGUAGGACAUUAACUUCGUAUCAUUUGGAAUAUAAUGCCCCAAAUUACUGGCUUACCAAAUGGAAACAGAUAUCCAUUUCUUCUGAAUACCUGAUUAGCACCUCUAUUUUGAUUACUGAAUAAAUCCGUCCCGGGGAAAUGGCUGUCGAGGUAUGCUUCUAUGCACAGGUGUAAAUGGUCGAUUUUCGCCAGUGUUUGAUGGGCUUUUGCCCUUAAAUUGCUAUUGUCGGUUUUAAGAGUGCAUCGCCGAAUUCCAUUGUAAUAGUCGGGUUUGGUGAGCUAGGUGUGGUUGGUUUAGUAGCGGUUUUGGUCAGUUUUCGGUUUUUACGUCAUACACAAACAAUUCAUGACUUUGAUCAAAUAAUAUUUGUUUGUACAUCUUAACAUACAUUAGAACAAUUUGAUUCCUACAUGAGGAACACAAAUCAGUACUUGAAUAAUCUACUUCUGGCAAUCCCUUUUGCUCCCUCAAUGUUAAUUUAGGUAUCCUAAAUCUUGAGUGGCAGGUCAGGACUAAAAUCUGAAUAGCAGCAGAAUCAAUUUUGAUUACUUAAGAAUCUCCUCCUUAAGAGAGAAUUUAGAGUUUCUACUCGAAGUGAAUCUUAGAGUGAGGAGACUGAGUGAAAGAGUGUCCUUUAGAGUUGAGAGGAAGAGAGAGAAUCUUUGCCUUGUUCCAUGAGAGAGACGCCGUGAGUCAUGAGCGUAUGAGAGAG